GAUGAACGCUGGCGGCGUGCCUAAUACAUGCAAGUCGAGCGAACGGACGAGAAGCUUGCUUCUCUGAUGUUAGCGGCGGACGGGUGAGUAACACGUGGAUAACCUACCUAUAAGACUGGGAUAACUUCGGGAAACCGGAGCUAAUACCGGAUAAUAUUUUGAACCGCAUGGUUCAAAAGUGAAAGACGGUCUUGCUGUCACUUAUAGAUGGAUCCGCGCUGCAUUAGCUAGUUGGUAAGGUAACGGCUUACCAAGGCAACGAUGCAUAGCCGACCUGAGAGGGUGAUCGGCCACACUGGAACUGAGACACGGUCCAGACUCCUACGGGAGGCAGCAGUAGGGAAUCUUCCGCAAUGGGCGAAAGCCUGACGGAGCAACGCCGCGUGAGUGAUGAAGGUCUUCGGAUCGUAAAACUCUGUUAUUAGGGAAGAACAUAUGUGUAAGUAACUGUGCACAUCUUGACGGUACCUAAUCAGAAAGCCACGGCUAACUACGUGCCAGCAGCCGCGGUAAUACGUAGGUGGCAAGCGUUAUCCGGAAUUAUUGGGCGUAAAGCGCGCGUAGGCGGUUUUUUAAGUCUGAUGUGAAAGCCCACGGCUCAACCGUGGAGGGUCAUUGGAAACUGGAAAACUUGAGUGCAGAAGAGGAAAGUGGAAUUCCAUGUGUAGCGGUGAAAUGCGCAGAGAUAUGGAGGAACACCAGUGGCGAAGGCGACUUUCUGGUCUGUAACUGACGCUGAUGUGCGAAAGCGUGGGGAUCAAACAGGAUUAGAUACCCUGGUAGUCCACGCCGUAAACGAUGAGUGCUAAGUGUUAGGGGGUUUCCGCCCCUUAGUGCUGCAGCUAACGCAUUAAGCACUCCGCCUGGGGAGUACGACCGCAAGGUUGAAACUCAAAGGAAUUGACGGGGACCCGCACAAGCGGUGGAGCAUGUGGUUUAAUUCGAAGCAACGCGAAGAACCUUACCAAAUCUUGACAUCCUUUGACAACUCUAGAGAUAGAGCUUUCCCCUUCGGGGGACAAAGUGACAGGUGGUGCAUGGUUGUCGUCAGCUCGUGCCGUGAGAUGUUGGGUUAAGUCCCGCAACGAGCGCAACCCUUAAGCUUAGUUGCCAUCAUUAAGUUGGGCACUCUAAGUUGACUGCCGGUGACAAACCGGAGGAAGGUGGGGAUGACGUCAAAUCAUCAUGCCCCUUAUGAUUUGGGCUACACACGUGCUACAAUGGACAAUACAAAGGGCAGCGAAACCGCGAGGUCAAGCAAAUCCCAUAAAGUUGUUCUCAGUUCGGAUUGUAGUCUGCAACUCGACUACAUGGAGCUGGAAUCGCUAGUAAUCGUAGAUCAGCAUGCUACGGUGAAUACGUUCCCGGGUCU
rnacentral:rRNA from 1 species